AAUUGGGGGAAAACAAAGUAUGGUUGGCUCUGACUUGACGAAUCUUUCUUAACACUGUGUUUGUAAAGUUGUGGUGCGAAGAAAAAAGUAAUUUGUUGACUGUUGACCUGAAGUAUUACAAACAUCGCACGAAAUGAGUAAGGCAUAUUCAAGAGUACCAUCGCUAUGAUUAUGUUAAUUGAUGGAUAUACUAUUAAAAUUUAUCGACCUUUUCAAACAGAGACUUCGGAGAAAUAGUAAAAUUGUGCUUAGAUAAAAGCGUUUCCAACUUCUGCCUGUGUAAGCUCUUAUUCAAUGGGAUUUAUUAGAUUAUCUGGCUCUAAAGCUUAAGAUCUAAAGCAAAUUAGAAAACAAAGGUUUGGCAUCAAAAUGUCAGAAGAACAUUUGUUGGGCGCAUCAGAAAGUUUAUAUUUAAAAUUGGCAUCUCACAUUUAUUUUAACAAUAUUUGUUCAUUUUUCGUUGACUCCUGCGUAGAAAUCACAGAUUGAGUUUUUGAAGUUUGGUAAAGAAAUUCUUCACCUUUCGUAAUACCUUGCCAGUCAUAUUUUGUCCUCAACACUUUUGACAUCGAAUCUGAAGCUUCAUCGCGCCAAAGCUCAGGAUCGGCUUCAGUCUGAAUUGAAUUUUUUUGUUAAGCUCAUCAAUUUUUUGGACAUCAUUUUGCAGGUUUUUGUUUCGAUGGAAGCAUAACGUGUCUGUCUGCAUAGGUACAACUUUGGUCUUUCAAAGCAAUGUUCCAAGUCACAAGAACUUAGAACUUAUUAUCAUUUGGUAGUUUCUGAUUGUAAAUUGUCAACGUGCACCAAUCAACAUAAUUAAUGAAGAUAAGAACGUUUGAGCAAUUUGUAUCGCCUUUUCUACGAGAAAACAUCUCUAUGGUGGAUAAAGCCUCCUAGUUUGUUUUUUCUUACUUUGACCCUUGUUGAUGUGAUCUACGAUAAGACGCUUAUUCGUGUCUUCAGAAGCGAUAUAUUACUAUCCCCUGACUUUCAAUAUCAUUAGCUAUUUCUCAAGUACAUCUCCAUAUGAACAUAUGCAUCUUUGAGACCUAUGACACAUAGACCAAUAGAAUUUGCAAUGAAACAGAGUUUUUAUUAUAGCAAACGAGAUCAAAGACCCAAAAUCUUAUCUUGAUUUAAACAUUAAACCAUCCCUGUGUUCUUUUGACGGGGCUCAAGCCGUUGUUUAAUCUGAGUGCUUUAAGACCGUAGGUCAUUUCUAUGCCUGUCGCUACACAGAGAAGACCAUAUAGGUUUUAACAGUCUGCUGCUAAACCCUGUUGCCAAGUUUGAACAUACAAGAUGGUAACUACGGAGCUUGUCUAUUUCUGCUAGUGGGAAGGAAGUCCAGGUGCAGCAACUCCAAUGAAGGUCUAAACGUUCCUCCAGACAAUGACUAAUAAAAUAGUUGAAACUGAAAUUACUGGAAAUAGAACUCUGAAGGCUGAAUUAUAGUAAUGGCAUCUCUAAAUCGGACUUGAUUGAAGGUAUCUAUGUUAAGCUGUCCCACAGUUGUAUGAACCCGAAAAGUAUGCGGAAUCACUACCACAUCUUUCUGUCAAUAACAUCCACCUAGCUUGAGAGAUGCCUUUCAAACUGGCUGCACUAUUCAAAGUGAUAGCCCGAUGGACUCAUAUGCUGGCAUUAUUCUAUCGAGAUUAAAAGCAUUGCAAGAAAAGUAUUUU